rnacentral:rRNA from 1 species
GGUUAAGCGACUAAGCGUACACGGUGGAUGCCCUGGCAGUCAGAGGCGAUGAAGGACGUGCUAAUCUGCGAUAAGCGUCGGUAAGGUGAUAUGAACCGUUAUAACCGGCGAUUUCCGAAUGGGGAAACCCAGUGUGUUUCGACACACUAUCAUUAACUGAAUCCAUAGGUUAAUGAGGCGAACCGGGGGAACUGAAACAUCUAAGUACCCCGAGGAAAAGAAAUCAACCGAGAUUCCCCCAGUAGCGGCGAGCGAACGGGGAGCAGCCCAGAGCCUGAAUCAGUGUGUGUGUUAGUGGAAGCGUCUGGAAAGGCGCGCGAUACAGGGUGACAGCCCCGUACACAAAAAUGCACAUGCUGUGAGCUCGAUGAGUAGGGCGGGACACGUGGUAUCCUGUCUGAAUAUGGGGGGACCAUCCUCCAAGGCUAAAUACUCCUGACUGACCGAUAGUGAACCAGUACCGUGAGGGAAAGGCGAAAAGAACCCCGGCGAGGGGAGUGAAAAAGAACCUGAAACCGUGUACGUACAAGCAGUGGGAGCACGCUUAGGCGUGUGACUGCGUACCUUUUGUAUAAUGGGUCAGCGACUUAUAUUCUGUAGCAAGGUUAACCGAAUAGGGGAGCCGAAGGGAAACCGAGUCUUAACUGGGCGUUAAGUUGCAGGGUAUAGACCCGAAACCCGGUGAUCUAGCCAUGGGCAGGUUGAAGGUUGGGUAACACUAACUGGAGGACCGAACCGACUAAUGUUGAAAAAUUAGCGGAUGACUUGUGGCUGGGGGUGAAAGGCCAAUCAAACCGGGAGAUAGCUGGUUCUCCCCGAAAGCUAUUUAGGUAGCGCCUCGUGAAUUCAUCUCCGGGGGUAGAGCACUGUUUCGGCAAGGGGGUCAUCCCGACUUACCAACCCGAUGCAAACUGCGAAUACCGGAGAAUGUUAUCACGGGAGACACACGGCGGGUGCUAACGUCCGUCGUGAAGAGGGAAACAACCCAGACCGCCAGCUAAGGUCCCAAAGUCAUGGUUAAGUGGGAAACGAUGUGGGAAGGCCCAGACAGCCAGGAUGUUGGCUUAGAAGCAGCCAUCAUUUAAAGAAAGCGUAAUAGCUCACUGGUCGAGUCGGCCUGCGCGGAAGAUGUAACGGGGCUAAACCAUGCACCGAAGCUGCGGCAGCGACGCUUAUGCGUUGUUGGGUAGGGGAGCGUUCUGUAAGCCUGCGAAGGUGUGCUGUGAGGCAUGCUGGAGGUAUCAGAAGUGCGAAUGCUGACAUAAGUAACGAUAAAGCGGGUGAAAAGCCCGCUCGCCGGAAGACCAAGGGUUCCUGUCCAACGUUAAUCGGGGCAGGGUGAGUCGACCCCUAAGGCGAGGCCGAAAGGCGUAGUCGAUGGGAAACAGGUUAAUAUUCCUGUACUUGGUGUUACUGCGAAGGGGGGACGGAGAAGGCUAUGUUGGCCGGGCGACGGUUGUCCCGGUUUAAGCGUGUAGGCUGGUUUUCCAGGCAAAUCCGGAAAAUCAAGGCUGAGGCGUGAUGACGAGGCACUACGGUGCUGAAGCAACAAAUGCCCUGCUUCCAGGAAAAGCCUCUAAGCAUCAGGUAACAUCAAAUCGUACCCCAAACCGACACAGGUGGUCAGGUAGAGAAUACCAAGGCGCUUGAGAGAACUCGGGUGAAGGAACUAGGCAAAAUGGUGCCGUAACUUCGGGAGAAGGCACGCUGAUAUGUAGGUGAAGUCCCUUGCGGAUGGAGCUGAAAUCAGUCGAAGAUACCAGCUGGCUGCAACUGUUUAUUAAAAACACAGCACUGUGCAAACACGAAAGUGGACGUAUACGGUGUGACGCCUGCCCGGUGCCGGAAGGUUAAUUGAUGGGGUCAGCGCAAGCGAAGCUCUUGAUCGAAGCCCCGGUAAACGGCGGCCGUAACUAUAACGGUCCUAAGGUAGCGAAAUUCCUUGUCGGGUAAGUUCCGACCUGCACGAAUGGCGUAAUGAUGGCCAGGCUGUCUCCACCCGAGACUCAGUGAAAUUGAACUCGCUGUGAAGAUGCAGUGUACCCGCGGCAAGACGGAAAGACCCCGUGAACCUUUACUAUAGCUUGACACUGAACAUUGAGCCUUGAUGUGUAGGAUAGGUGGGAGGCUUUGAAGUGUGGACGCCAGCCUGCAUGGAGCCGACCUUGAAAUACCACCCUUUAAUGUUUGAUGUUCUAACGUUGACCCGUAAUCCGGGUUGCGGACAGUGUCUGGUGGGUAGUUUGACUGGGGCGGUCUCCUCCUAAAGAGUAACGGAGGAGCACGAAGGUUGGCUAAUCCUGGUCGGACAUCAGGAGGUUAGUGCAAUGGCAUAAGCCAGCUUGACUGCGAGCGUGACGGCGCGAGCAGGUGCGAAAGCAGGUCAUAGUGAUCCGGUGGUUCUGAAUGGAAGGGCCAUCGCUCAACGGAUAAAAGGUACUCCGGGGAUAACAGGCUGAUACCGCCCAAGAGUUCAUAUCGACGGCGGUGUUUGGCACCUCGAUGUCGGCUCAUCACAUCCUGGGGCUGAAGUAGGUCCCAAGGGUAUGGCUGUUCGCCAUUUAAAGUGGUACGCGAGCUGGGUUUAGAACGUCGUGAGACAGUUCGGUCCCUAUCUGCCGUGGGCGCUGGAGAAUUGAGGGGGGCUGCUCCUAGUACGAGAGGACCGGAGUGGACGCAUCACUGGUGUUCGGGUUGUCAUGCCAAUGGCACUGCCCGGUAGCUAAAUGCGGAAGAGAUAAGUGCUGAAAGCAUCUAAGCACGAAACUUGCCCCGAGAUGAGUUCUCCCUGACUCCUUGAGAGUCCUGAAGGAACGUUGAAGACGACGACGUUGAUAGGCCGGGUGUGUAAGCGCAGCGAUGCGUUGAGCUAACCGGUACUAAUGAACCGUGAGGCUUAACCUU